CGAUUUAGCUCAGUUGGUAGAGCAACUGAUUUGUAAUCAGUAGGUCGAGAGUUCGAGUCUCCCAAUCGGC
rnacentral:tRNA from 1 species